rnacentral:rRNA from 1 species
GACGAACGCUGGCGGCGUGCUUAACACAUGCAAGUCGAACGGAAAGGCCCCUUUGGGGGUACUCGAGUGGCGAACGGGUGAGUAACACGUGAGUAACCUGCCCUUGACUUCGGGAUAACUUCAGGAAACUGGGGCUAAUACCGGAUAGGAAUCCUUGCUGCAUGGUGGGGGUUGGAAAGCUUCGGCGGUUUUGGAUGGACUCGCGGCUUAUCAGCUUGUUGGUGGGGUAGUGGCUUACCAAGGCUUUGACGGGUAGCCGGCCUGAGAGGGCGACCGGCCACAUUGGGACUGAGAUACGGCCCAGACUCCUACGGGAGGCAGCAGUGGGGAAUAUUGCACAAUGGGCGGAAGCCUGAUGCAGCAACGCCGCGUGCGGGAUGACGGCCUUCGGGUUGUAAACCGCUUUCAGCAGGGGCGAAGCUUGUGGUGACGGUACCUUCAGAAGAAGCACCGGCUAACUACGUG